UGGCUCAGCAGUUAAGAGCGCUGGCUAGUCUUCCAGAGGUCCUGGGUUCAAUUCCCAG
rnacentral:tRNA from 1 species